GUCGUACAAAAUGAUCAAAGGGUGCUGAAAUAACUCUAUAUAUGUAAAUGAUUCCAUUUUCUGUGUAAACAAAACUGAAAAGUGCAAAAUGAAGGCCGGCCGAGCUAACGUCGGCCGACGCACACGCUCAGGCCCCGGCCGGCCUGUGUGCCGCCCCUCAACCGGCAGGUGGGCAACCGCCUUGUGGGCUGUGUGUACUACACGAUGGCCCUGGCCCUCCCCUAAGCCGCCGCCUAUACAAAUGCCGGCACAGCACGACGACUGGCUCUCCGGAAAAGGCCUCGCCGUGCAGCACUCGCGCCGAGCUUGGCACGAGGAGGAUCAGCGCCGCCGCGACCAUCAAGAUCACCGCCGAAACAAACUUCGAUCGCCGCAUCGUCGAACUAAUGUGCUUUGCAACUUUGCAAUAGUGUUGUAUGUGAUAGAGAUGCACAUAGAAUAGAGGUAGAAGUUCACGGUGGAUGGAGAUUCACGACCGUCGACAGGCCCCUCGCGAAUGUAUAAAAAGGUAGAGAUCGGCUGCUGGGUUUGUUUGAACGCCAGCCACAGCGCGCCCGUGUUUGAACGCCAACCGCAGCGCGCGCGUGUUUGCAUGUAUAGGUACGCACGCCCGUUACGUACGUG
rnacentral:lncRNA from 1 species